rnacentral:rRNA from 1 species
GAUGAACGCUGGCGGCGUGCUUAACACAUGCAAGUCGAGCGAGAAGUUUUGAAAAGAUUCUUCGGAUGAAAUUUAAAAUGGAAAGCGGCGGACGGGUGAGUAACGCGUAGGCAACCUGCCCCAUACAAAGGGAUAGCAUUUGGAAACGAAUAUUAAUACCUUAUGAAACUUAACUAGUGCAUGCUAGGUAGGUCAAAGAUUUAUCGGUAUGGGAUGGGCCUGCGUCUGAUUAGCUAGUUGGUGAGGUAACGGCUCACCAAGGCGACGAUCAGUAGCCGACCUGAGAGGGUGAACGGCCACAUUGGAACUGAGACACGGUCCAAACUCCUACGGGAGGCAGCAGUGGGGAAUAUUGCACAAUGGGGGAAACCCUGAUGCAGCAACG